GUUUGAUCCUGGCUCAGAACGAACGCUGGCGGCGUGGCUAAGACAUGCAAGUCGAACGGACUAUCUGCUUGGGUAACCGAAACGAUAGUUAGUGGCGAACGGGUGAGGAAUGAACAGGUAACGUACCUCGCGCUUCGGGAUAGCGUCUGACUGCUUCGGCAGUCUUCCGAAAGGGGCGGUAAUACCGGAUAAUGUCAUGGGGCAUAAGUUCCAUGACCAAAGAUUUAUCGGCGUGGGAGCGGCCUAUUUCCUAUCAGCUUGUUGGUGGGGUAACGGCUUACCAAGGCUUCGACGGGUAGCGGGACUGAGAGGUUGACCCGCCACAUCGGGACUGAGACACUGCCCGGACCUCCACGGAGGGCUGCAGUAACGAAUAUUGCGCAAUGGGCGAAAGCCUGACGCAGCAACGCCGCGUGUAGGAUGAAGCCCCUCGGGGUGUAAACUACUGUCAGGGGAAAGAAAGUCCCGACUCGUCGGGAUUGAUCUACCCCAGAGGAAGUCACGGCUAACUUCGUGCCAGCAGCCGCGGUAAGACGAAGGUGGCGAGCGUUGUCCGAAAUCACUGGGCUUAAAGCGCGCGCAGGCGGAGUGGACAGUGUCUUGUGAAAGCCCCCGGCUCAACCGGGGAAUUGCGGGGCAUACUGCCACUCUUGAGGCAAGUAGGGGUGCAUGGAACUCUUGGUGGAGCGGUGGAAUGCGUAGAUAUCAAGAGGAACGCCGAUGGAGAAAUCAGUGCACUGGGCUUGUUCUGACGCUGAGGCGCGAAAGCGUGGGGAGCGAAAGGGAUUAGAUACCCCUGUAGUCCACGCCGUAAACGAUGUCUACUAGGUUGUGGUUGUUCUGACACAGGCACAGCCGAAGCAAAAGUGUUAAGUAGACCGCCUGGGGAGUACGGCCGCAAGGCUAAAACUCAAAGGAAUUGACGGGGGCUCACACAAGCGGUGGAGCAUGUGGAUUAAUUCGAAGCAACGCGCAGAACCUUACCUGGGUUUGACAUGCUUGGAUGCUUGCCGGGAAACCGGUUAAGCUGCCUUCGGGUGAAACUUGCACAGGUGUUGC
rnacentral:rRNA from 1 species